rnacentral:tRNA from 1 species
GCCAGGGUGGUGUAGUGGUUUGAGCAUUGGACUAUGGCCCUGGAGAUCAGGGUUCGAUUCCCUGCUUGAGCA